UACCCUUGACAUGUCAGGAAGUUACCAGAGAUGGUUUCGUGCUCGAAAGAGAACCUGAACACAGGUGCUGCAUGGCCGUCGUCAGCUCGUGUCGUGAGAUGUUGGGUUAAGUCCCGCAACGAGCGCAACCCUUAUCAUUAGUUGCUACGCAAGGGCACUCUAAUGAGACUGCCGGUGACAAACCGGAGGAAGGUGGGGAUGACGUCAGGUCAUCAUGGCCCUUAUGGGUAGGGCUACACACGUCAUACAAUGGCCGGUACAGAGGGCUGCCAACCCGCGAGGGGGAGCUAAUCUCAGAAAACCGGUCGUAGUCCGGAUCGCAGUCUGCAACUCGACUGCGUGAAGUCGGAAUCGCUAGUAAUCGCGGAUCAGCUUGCCGCGGUGAAUACGUUCCCGGGUC
rnacentral:rRNA from 1 species